rnacentral:lncRNA from 1 species
GGGGGGAAUAAGAUUUUUUUCCCAAAUGACAUAAAUGCCCCUAAGAAGCCGUACAACUUCCGACCCCGGACGGCCGAAGUCGGCGUCCGACUUCGGAACGACCGACCUCGAGACCUCCGACCUAAGAAAAACCCCGAUGUUCGAGGUCUACUCUUGUCAGCCACCUACUACGGCCGUGCGCCUCAGAGGUCUGGCCGAGGACCAUACCCUGACGCCCCUCUGGCAUUUAUUGCGCAUGGUCGCUGUAACCCUCCAGCUUACUCCACAAUAAAUGCGGAUCUCCGGCUUACUCCACAAUAAAUGCGGAUCUCCGGCUUACUCCACCAUAAAUGCGCAUGGCUCCUGUCAUCUACGGACUCUCAGCUCUCCACGGCAAAUCAGCCCAGCAGAGUCUAGUCAACUAUGAUAAGUCUCCGAUCUCGGCCAUACCUCCGACACCAAUGCAAUAAUUCGUCUGACAGCGUGCUAGUUCGGGUUAUACGACGCCCUCACCGCCGACAUCAGAGCAAUGAUUCGCCUGACUAUGCGCCGACCUGAACAACAUGCCGAGCCGUACUACGGCCUCGCCCUGUUACAUCGCAGGUAAACCGACCCCCGCCUAUAAAAGGGAGCCUUAGCCUCUCAGGAGGGGGUUGGAA